rnacentral:lncRNA from 1 species
CUGUAGUGAGCAGGAUCUUGCUGCAUCUUCUGGCAUUGAUGCCCCUGUGGAAGGUGGCCCCAUCGCGGGACAUUGUUCUGCAUCCAGUGAGAAACAACAGCCUGCAU